AAAUAAACUGAAAUGGCCAACGCGCCGCCUAGUUCCCAACUUUACUCAUCCACCCCGCCACUCUCCAUCUCGAAUCAACUCUCAGGUAGGGUUGCAGCUCUGAUAUAUUCAAUCAUAAGAUAAGGAUGCAGGCAACUGUUGGAGUUGCAAUGAUGGGUUCUCUGCAGCAACCCGUUUGGACCAAGGGGAUGUCUUUCCCUUCAAAUAAAGGGUAUGGCGGUAAUGGAUUUAUCCCUCAACUAACGUUCCACAAUGCAAAACCAUGCAAAGCAUCUCCUGUUGAAGGUAGUUUAGUCACAGGGGCUCCAUCAUCUUUGUCUGUCUCAGUGCCCGAAAUCGGAGGGGAUGGAAGCAAGUUCUUGGACUACGGCUUGAGUGAAGCUGAUCCCGAGGUUCGUGAAAUUAUUGACAAGGAAAAGGACCGACAAUUUAAAAGUCUAGAGCUUAUUGCCUCUGAGAAUUUUACUUCUAGAGCAGUGAUGGAAGCAGUUGGUUCAUGCCUCACAAACAAGUACUCUGAAGGGCUACCGGGUAAAAGGUACUAUGGUGGUAAUGAGUUUAUUGACGAGCUUGAGAUCCUAUGCCAAGAAAGGGCACUAGCUGCAUUCCAUGUAGAUGGAGAGAAGUGGGGUGUAAAUGUUCAACCAUUAUCUGGUUCCCCAGCUAAUUUUGCAGUAUAUACUGCAAUUCUCAAACCGCAUGAUCGAAUAAUGGGUUUGGACUUGCCUCAUGGGGGACAUUUGUCGCAUGGAUUCAUGACACCUAAAAGACGUGUAUCAGGAACAUCAAUUUAUUUUGAAUCUAUGCCUUAUCGACUUGAUGAGUCAACAGGUCUUAUUGAUUAUGAUAUGUUGGAGAAAACUGCUAUUAUCUUCCGGCCAAAACUCAUUAUUGCUGGUGCUAGUGCUUAUCCUCGAGACAUUGACUACCGUCACUUCAGAAAAAUUGCAGAUGAAGUAGGCGCUUUUCUUAUGAUGGAUAUGGCUCAUAUAAGUGGGCUUGUUGCUGCAUCUGUGCUUGCUAAUCCCUUUGAGUUUUGUGAUAUUGUGACCACCACAACCCAUAAGUCCUUGAGAGGUCCAAGAGGUGGAAUGAUAUUCUUCAAGAAAGAUCCCGUGCAUGGUGUCGAUCUAGAGUCUGCCAUCAACAAUGCCGUUUUUCCUGGCCUUCAGGGUGGUCCUCAUAACCACACUAUUGGAGGACUAGCAGUUUGCUUGAAGCAUGCCCAAUCUCAGGAAUUUAAAAUUUACCAGAAUCAGGUGGUGUCUAACUGUAGAGCUCUGGCUAACCAGUUAAUCGAGCAUGGGUAUAAACUGGUCUCUGGUGGUAGUGAUAACCACCUGGUUCUUGUUGAUCUGCGGCCAUCUGGUAUUGAUGGCGCCCGAGUGGAGAAGAUUCUGGACAUGGCUUCCAUAACCCUCAACAAGAAUUCAGUGCCAGGCGACAAAAGCGCCCUAGUUCCGGGAGGCAUUCGCAUUGGAUCGCCUGCAAUGACGACAAGAGGACUUGGGGAGAAAGAAUUCACAUUAAUAGCAGACUUGAUUCAUGAGGGUGUGCAGAUAAGUCUCGAAGCCAAGAGUCUGGUCUCAGGGACAAAACUACAAGACUUUUUGAAGUUCGUAACAUCUCCAGAGUUUCCUUUGGGAGACAAAGUCUCAAAGUUGCGUAGUAAAGUUGAAGAUCUUACUACUAAGUAUCCAAUCCCUGGUGUCUAAAUAGUGCAUUUUGGUAUACUCCUAAGGAAAUAUUCAGAUCAAGACCCAAAAGAAACAUAACUGGAAGGUUUAAAAUUUGCCAGAUAGAAGAACACAAAAGAAACAUCAUCUCUCAAAAUAUGAAGCUAUACCUCUUCUUGGUUUCACUGUACAGAAUGACUCCAGUGACUGUGAGUGCAUAGCCCAUCAUUCCUAUAACUGAAAUUGGAUUCUUGAAUAUCAGAAUUGAGACAACCACUGCAACUGCCCCCUUUGCAUUUCCUAGAACCUGUGAAAAGAUUUGGCAAAUCACAUUUAUAUUUAGUUGGUUUACACCACAGAUGACUUAAGGAACUGAAUGCAUCUCCUAAAUCAUGUGUAUCCCUUACUAACAGAAUAUUAUGCUUCCACUGCGCUACACUGACAGCGAGGGCAUUAUAGAGACUCUCCUGCUCGUCUAUAUAUGAUAGGAGCCUUUACUUUAAUGACCUCGCCAUCAGAGUGGUGCAGUGGAAGUGUGAUAUUCUAUUAGUGAGGGUGUUACAAUGUGAUGAGUCUUUAGUUUAUUAAUUUAUUGCUUUAUGGAGUUGAUAUCUGACCCCAAAGCAAAGAAGUAUCAAAGUCACUCUUCUAUGCACACUUUUCUUAAUCUCACCAUAUGCUGAUGUGCACAUGAAAUUUAAUAAUGGUGAGUGAUACAGAAUAUUGUUCCUUGUAAAUACUAUACUGAAAAUGGCAGUUCGG